CGGGGGAAGGACAACACGUGUCCGUUACGCGUGAGCUCAAUGGCUCCAGCCUCGGGGGAGGAGCCCUCGCCGGCCCCGCCCACCGCGGGGGGCGGGGCACGCAGGCAGCGCCUACCCGAACUCCAAGUGGCCUCCAGGCAGCUGAGGUAAACUUCACUUGCAGAACAAUGAAGGAAGAAUCGUAAGUGUAGACCGGAUCAGACGGAUCACCUGAACCACCCUCUCCGUGAACACGAACCUCUUAGUUCAAGCUGAAGCUGCAGAGCGCCCGAAAGGGACUGAAGGAAGGGGACUUAGUCCUAUCACUGCUGAGGCCAGCCCAUUGAACCGUAUUGCUGAGGCGAGCCCAUUGAACCGUAUUACUGAGGCCAACCCAUUAAAUUGUACUACUGAGGAAUUAAACCAUAUUUACAUGUAUGGCUUCUCGGAAUUCUAGGAUUGUAAGUAUAUUAUGAAAAUAAUAGUAUUGAUUCAAAUGUAACUUUUAGUUGUAAUUGUAGUUGUUUUUGUAGUACUAAUUCUUAUAGCAUUGUUUGGGAAGGAAGUGCAUUCGGAGCAUUGUUUCUGAUAUAUGUAAUUAUUGUGUUCUUAAUGUUUGUGGUAUUUCUUAAAGCUAAGCAGUGUUAUAUGCGUAGCAAAGAAUUUUAAAAUAAAAUUGUGUUGUAUGAA